rnacentral:rRNA from 1 species
AUGCAGGCUGUGUGCCGAGAAAAGCCGCUAUUGUUUUAUAUGUGCCCGUACCGUAAACCGACACAGGUGGAUGAGGAGAGAAUCCUAAGGCCGACGGAAGAAGCAUUGUUAAGGAACUCGGCAAAAUGACCCCGUAACUUCGGGAGAAGGGGUGCCACAGAAAUGUGGCCGCAGAGAAUAGGCUCAAGCAACUGUUUAGCAAAAACACAGGUCUAUGCGAAACCGAAAGGUGAGAUAUAUGGGCUGACGCCUGCCCGGUGCUGGAAGGUUAAGAGGAGAGGUUAGCGAAAGCGAAGCUUUGAAUUGAAGCCCCAGUAAACGGCGGCCGUAACAAUAACGGUCCUAAGGUAGCGAAAUUCCUUGUCGGGUAAGUUCCGACCCGCACGAAAGGCGUAAUGAUUUGAGCACUGUCUCGACAAUGCAUCCGGUGAAAUUGAAGUACCAGUGAAGAUGCUGGUUACCCGCGCCAGGACGGAAAGACCCCAUGGAGCUUUACUCCAGUCUGGUACUGGGAUUCGGUACUGCAUGUACAGGAUAGGUGGGAGGCUUUGAAAAGAGGACGCCAGUCUUCUUGGAGCCGCUGUUGGGAUACCACCCCUGCAGUAUUGGGUUUCUAACCAGCCGCCGUAAGCCGGCGGUGGGACAAUGCCAGGCGGGGAGUUUGACUGGGGCGGUCGCCUCCGAAAGGGUAUCGGAGGCGCUCAAAGGUUCCCUCAGAAUGGUCGGAAACCAUUUAGAGAGUGCAAAGGCAGAAGGGAGCUUGACUGUGACACCGACGGGUGGAGCAGGUACGAAAGUAGGACUUAGUGAUCCGGUGGUAGUAAGUGGGAUUGCCAUCGCUCAACGGAUAAAAGCUACCCUGGGAUAACAGGCUUAUCACUCCCAAGAGUUCACAUCGACGGAGUGGUUUGGCACCUCGAUGUCGGCUCAUCGCAUCCUGGGGCUGUAGCAGGUCCCAAGGGUUGGGCUGUUCGCCCAUUAAAGCGGUACGCGAGCUGGGUUCAGAACGUCGUGAGACAGUUCGGUCCCUAUCCGGCGCGGGCGUAGGAUAUCUGAGAGGAGCUGGCCUUAGUACGAGAGGACCGGGCUGGACGGACCACUGGUGUAUCUGUUGUCGACCAACGGCAUGGCAGAGUAGCCAAGUCCGGAAGGGAUAAACGCUGAAGGCAUCUAAGCGUGAAGCCCCCCCCAAGGUGAGAUAUCCCACCCAUAAGGAAGUAAGACCCCUGAGAGACGAUCAGGUAGAUAGGGCAGAGGUGGAAGUACAGCAAUGUAUGGAGCUGACUGUUACUAAUCGGUCGAGGGCUUGACU